AUGUUUCUGUUCAAGUUUAAAAGGAAGCAAUUUCCUGUAAGGCUUAGCUUUGCUAUGACCAUUAACAAGGCUCAAGGGCAGACCAUCCCGAUUGUUGGUGUCUACCUACCCAAUCCCGUGUUCUCUCAUGGUCAGCUCUAUGUUCCUCUGUCUCGAGCCACCGCGAAAAGAAAUAUAAAGAUACUCAUUCAGAAGGAGAAGCCGAAGGAGAAGGCCAACAAGCAAAAGGACAAUCCAAAGAAGCGAAAAAGACCGACCGUGUCCUUACUGACGUCGAUGAAGAACAUCGUCUACAAGGAAGUCCUUACAGGCUGA
rnacentral:rRNA from 1 species